rnacentral:rRNA from 1 species
AUUGAACGCUGGCGGCAGGCCUAACACAUGCAAGUCGAGCGGAUGACGGGAGCUUGCUCCUGGAUUCAGCGGCGGACGGGUGAGUAAUGCCUAGGAAUCUGCCUGGUAGUGGGGGACAACGUUUCGAAAGGAACGCUAAUACCGCAUACGUCCUAUGGGAGAAAGCAGGGGACCUUCGGGCCUUGCGCUAUCAGAUGAGCCUAGGUCGGAUUAGCUAGUUGGUGAGGUAAUGGCUCACCAAGGCGACGAUCCGUAACUGGUCUGAGAGGAUGAUCAGUCACACUGGAACUGAGACACGGUCCAGACUCCUACGGGAGGCAGCAGUGGGGAAUAUUGGACAAUGGGCGAAAGCCUGAUCCAGCCAUGCCGCGUGUGUGAAGAAGGUCUUCGGAUUGUAAAGCACUUUAAGUUGGGAGGAAGGGCAGUAAGCGAAUACCUUGCUGUUUUGACGUUACCGACAGAAUAAGCACCGGCUAACUCUGUGCCAGCCGCCGCAGUAACAC